CUCCAGCCAAUCAGCGCCGCUGUUUCUCGCCGUCGCUCUCAGCCCGCCCUUGCUGGGCGUGGCCUCCCCUCCUCUCGAGCUCGCUCCGUGUGGAAAAGACGGUUUCGGGUGCAAAAGUCGCUCUUAUGUUGUUGCUCCGGCCGUUAGACAUGCCCAGUGAGGCAGCAGCCGCCUGCCGUGCCGCGACCGUCACCGAGCUCCGGGACUCCCCGUCACUCCCGGGUGCUGUGAGGAGCGGUCUCCAGCCGCCGGCGCCCUUGCCCGCCUCAGACUGUCCGUUGGCCCCGCGCGCUGUGUCCGGACGGCGGCCGGGGAGCCCCCAGUGAAGGCCGCAGCGAUGUGGGAGUCCAAGCGGGUGCGGCUGCUGUGCAUGCUGGGCCUGACCUUCGUGUUCUUCGUGGUGGAGGUGGUGGUGAGCCGCAUCACGGGCUCGCUGGCCAUGCUCUCCGACUCCUUCCACAUGCUGUCCGAUGUCAUCGCGCUUCUGGUCGGCCUGAUCGCCGUGCGCUUCGCCCAGAAGACCCGCUCCACCGACAAGAACACGUUCGGCUGGAUCCGGGCCGGGGUGAUGGGGGCCCUGGUCAACGCCAUCUUCCUCACCGCCCUGUGCUUCACCAUCGUGCUGGAGGCCGUCGAGCGCUUCACCGAGCCGCAGGCCAUCGAGCAGCCCAUGGUGGUGAUCGGAGUGGGGGCCGGCGGGCUGCUCAUUAACCUGAUCGGGCUCUGCAUGUUCCGGGACGGGGCCGCACACGGACACGGACACUCUCACGGCGGAGGGAGCGGAGGAGAGGCGGCGGGGGGGCACGGGCACUCGCACGGCCCCCGGAAAGCUCACAGGAACCGGGACCGCUCGGCCGGGGAUGGAGCCGCCAUAGACCGGGAGGAGACCAACAUCUUGGUGGAGAACUGCGGGAAUUCGCACGGCCUGACCGGGGACGGUGUGAUCAGCAAGCACGGUGAGAUACUGGAG